UUCAACUCCAAAUCCGAUCCUCCCGUCGCGCCCGGUUCGCCUCUCGCACCACAAGACUGGAAGGGCACGAGAGCCUUCGCCCUACGUUUCGGCGCGUUGAGGGCUCCGCUUCCACUUCCGCCCUCGCUUCUCGGCAUGGUAAUCAACACGAGUACGUAAACACCGGAGAAGACGACGACUCCCCUGCUCCAGGAUGGCUGGCGUCACCGACGAGUGCAACAAAACCUACGCCAGGAUGGCCACGCGUUUAUGCGGCGGCGUCCUGCUAACGAAUCAACGACAACAUCGCAUCUCGGCCGUAACAUCUGUUGUGCAUAUAAAUGUCUGUAUAUAGAUUUAUGCACGGAGUCGGUGGGUUUGAAAACCUGUUUCGGUCCGUCAUGAUUCGGCAGCUCGCUUGUACUUCUCCCAUGUCAUGUGUCCGCUUGGGCAUGGUGUUCUGGCAAAGCCGUAUGUACUUUUGUCUUGCUUCCCUCUGUCGAUGGAGGCUAAUCAUCACAAUCUUUCAUGGAACUUACAGCCUAAGUUUCAUGGUUCAGAAACGAUAUCCAAAGAUUUCUCA